AACGAACGCUGGCGGCAUGCCUAACACAUGCAAGUCGAACGAGACCUUCGGGUCUAGUGGCGCACGGGUGCGUAACGCGUGGGAAUCUGCCCUUCGGUUGGGAUUAACUGAGAGAAAUUUCAGCUAAUACCUUAUAAUGUCUUCGGACCAAAGAUUUAUCGCCGAGGGAUGAGCCCGCGUAGGAUUAGGUAGUUGGUGGGGUAAUGGCCUACCAAGCCGACGAUCCUUAGCUGGUCUGAGAGGAUGAUCAGCCACACUGGGACUGAGACACGGCCCAGACUCCUACGGGAGGCAGCAGUGGGGAAUAUUGGACAAUGGGCGAAAGCCUGAUCCAGCAAUGCCGCGUGAGUGAUGAAGGCCUUAGGGUUGUAAAGCUCUUUUACCCGGGAUGAUAAUGACAGUACCGGGAGAAUAAGCUCCGGCUAACUCCGUG
rnacentral:rRNA from 1 species